rnacentral:rRNA from 1 species
AUUGAACGCUGGCGGCAGGCCUAACACAUGCAAGUCGAACGAGUGGCGGACUGGUGAGUAAUGUCUGGGAAACUGCCUGAUGGAGGGGGAUAACUACUGGAAACGGUAGCUACUACCGCCAACCGUAGGAUGUGACCAGAUGUGCUUAGGUAGUUGGUGGGGUAAAGGCUCACCUAGGCGACGAUCCCUAGCUGGUCUGAGAGGAUGACCAGCCACACUGGAACUGAGACACGGUCCAGACUCCUACGGGAGGCAGAAGUGGGGAAUAUGGCACAAUGGGCGCAAGCCUGAUGCAGCCAUGCCGCGUGUAUGAAGAAGGCCUUCGGGUUGUAAAGUACGUUCAGCGGGGAGGCGUUACCCGCAGAAGAAGCACCGGCUAACUCCGUGCCAGCAGCCGCGGUAAUAC